GGAAACUUCUGAGCCAGAGGCCUCCCUCCCCUGGAAUAGAGCACCUGACCUGAGAUGGGUGAAUCCAAACUCUUCCUGAACUUGGCAGUAGAGCUGAGAAAGUGAUGUCUGUCUCUCUCUGGGAGGUUGACGAUGGGACUGGCUCAGAUGGUGACCUGCUACUGACCUCAUUCUUCCACAUAACCAAGGAGCAGAGGAAGCCAAUCUGUAAUAUGGAGAAGAAAGAAGCGAUGCAGAUAUGGCUUUUGAGAGCAAGCCUCUCUGGCUUCGUCUAAGGGUGGAUUCCUCCCUUCGCUGAGUGGAACGGUGGAAAAGAGACAGUGAAUGUUUUCCCAGCACGGAAUCUGAGCUUCUCUCU